CUAGGGGGUAUUUUUCUUUUAGGGUUUGUUGGUUUAUCGACGCUGUCGGGUGUCUCAAGCUGUAUGCCUGGACGCUUUGCACGGCAACGCAACGGUCACGACUUCGUGGUUGUUGUGUUGUGGUGUGUGUUGUUUGUGAACUGUAUAGUGGGAUGCGAGCAUAUCUUUUUUGUAUUGUUUGUUUGGUCGUGUUGGUGUGUCUGUCUGUGCGUGUG
rnacentral:misc_RNA from 1 species